rnacentral:rRNA from 1 species
UACGUAGGGUCCAAGCGUUAAUCGGAAUUACUGGGCGUAAAGCGUCCGCAGGUGGUUUGUUAAGCACGAUGUGAAAUCCCCGAGCUCAACUUGGGAAUUGCAUUGUGAACUGGCUAACUAGAGUAUGGCAGAGGGGGGUGGAAUUCCGCGUGUAGCAGUGAAAUGCGUAGAGAUGCGGAGGAACACCGAUGGCGAAGGCAACCCCCUGGGCUAAUACUGACACUCAUGGACGAAAGCGUGGGGAGCAAACAGG